UUUGUAGCGUAUAGUAGUAACUCGCUGACAUAUCAGCUAUCAUUUCGUGUACAGGUAGGCUGUCCUUACCCUGGUUAUACAGGUACACUACGAUAGGGUAACGUUUAUAUAAUGGUAGAGAGACACUUACAGUGUUAUCACAACCAAUAUAACCUACAUUUACAACUUUGACGGGACAUGCUACCGGCAGUAGGAGGCGGCUCUACUCUUAGGAACAAGGACAAUUUGAUGAUCGUAGCAAUCAGUGAUUGGAGCUAUAGACAGCACUAACACGACUGGUAUCGGUGGAGUAUUUACCCAGUUUAUUACGUGAAGAUUAGCCUAUGCCGGAGUCCACUUCUCACAAGAAGAAGUAUAGCCGUGACUCUGUUCCUGCGAACCACUGGGUCAGAAGGUACAGAAUGAUCACUAGCAUCGAUGAUUUGAGAUCUUUGAGGUUUUGGAAGGCGGUUGGUGCCGAGUUUCUCGGAACGUUGCUACUGGUGAUGGUAGGAUGUGGCUCGUGUGUAGCUUGGGAUGCUGACAACAAAGUGGUCCAGAUCGCAUUCUGUUUCGGACUUAGUGUAGCCACUAUUGUAUGGAGCAUCGGACAUGUAAGUGGGGGACAUAUAAACCCGGCUGUCACGUGUGCAUUCUUCAUCACGCGCCAAAUAAGUCUUGCGCGCGGCGUUCUCUACAUUGUGGUCCAAUGUCUUGGAGCAAUAAUUGGAGCGGGCUUGUUGAAGGGGAUGACACCUCCCAGCCGCCAGGACACUUUGGGGGCCACCGUGCCACACAAUGACGUAGAUGGUGGCAGAGCGUUUGGAAUUGAAUUUUUUAUCACCUUUAUCCUCAUUUUUACCAUUUUUGCGACAUGUGACAAAAAACGUAAGGAUCUUGGCGGUUCCUUCCCGUUGUCUAUCGGCCUCGCGGUUACCAUGUGUCACCUGUUUGCAAUCCAGUUUACCGGAGCCAGUAUGAACACAGCCCGGAGUUUCGGACCUGCUGUUGUGAUGGGGGUCUGGGAUAAACACUGGGUGUACUGGUUAGCCCCACCACUCGGAGCGUGCUGUGCUGGUCUCUUGUACGACAAUGUGUUUUCCCUGAACGCGUCACUAGAGAAGGCGCGUGGAUUUCUCCUGUCCAGUGAUUACGACCACGAAGACUUCCCCGCCAAACGAAGAAAGAUCAAAGUCAUUCACGAGGAAGCAGAAGAACUUAAUGUCGACUUGAACCAGAAAGCACCGGAAACGGCCUAAACAUUUCCACGCAUGCGUAAUGGAAUCACGAUUAAGAGUGUGACAAGAAUGAUAUCGAAAACAUAUUUAACUUAUUCAUAAGGCAAUUUUAAAGAAAGUUACUACCCGUUAAGACGUUUAGAUUUGGGCUUGAGAAGGGCAGACAACUCACAAGGGACUUAUCACUGAUAGCUUACGAUAGGUUUAAGAUCUCUCUCUCGGAGAUUAAGGGUUCGGCGUUUGACGUGCAUACAAGGUUCUGGUUAUGAUUGUGGUAAUACUUGAAUGCACGUCAUAAAGUUACCUGGAAUGAGUGUACACACACACACGACUAACGAUAACCAGAUACGUAGAUAAAUAAAGCUAGUCAAGACCUGAGGCGUAUUAGGCUCGCAAAGAGGUCACGACGCCCUACACUAUAAUGCUGCAAAGCCAAAGGUAGUGAUGGAGAUCGUUUGUGAACAUGUGAGUUGGCUUGAUAAGUUUGAUAGAGCCGCCGCUUCCGUAUUGUCAAGUUAUUCUACACUUUCAAAACAAUUUGCGGAUGAGUUGAAAAAAAACGAUCUAAUUAGAAAGUAGCAGACAUCAGCUGACAUCUACCAGUUACAUAUGAACACUUUGUGACAGAAAAGGUCACAAAGGCAUUUUUCGAUGAAUGGUCGUUUUUGUUGUAUCUCUUGAUGUGUGUUUGUGGUACGUAUCACUUUAUAUACGUAUCACACGUUUGUAACACGUACCACACGCUUGUUAUACUAAUGAGUACCGAACAUUUGUCAUUCUGGUAAUAACCACCUGUUUGUCAAAUUAGUAAGGUAACCACGUGUUUGUAAUAUUAGUUAGGUUACCACAUGUUUGUAAUACCAGUAAGGUUACCACGUGUUUGUAAAAUUAGUAAGGUUACCACGUGUUUGUAAUAUCAGUUAGGUUACCACGUGUUUGUAAUAUUGGUAAGGUUACCACGUGUUUGUAAUAUCAGUUAGGUUACCACGUGUUUGUAAUAUUGGUAAGGUUACCACGUGUUUGGAAUAUCAGUAAGGUUACCGCGUGUUUGUAAUAUUAUUAAGGUUACCACGUUUUUGUAAUAUUAGUAAGGUUACCACGUGUUUGUAAUAUUAGUAAGGUUCCCACGUGUUUGUAAUAUUAGUAAGGUUACCACGUGUUUGUAAUAUUAGUAAGUAUCAUUGUUUUAAUAUCAGUAAGGUAACGACGUGUCUGUAAUAUCAGUAAGGUUACCACAUGUUUGUAAUACCAGUUAGGUUACCACGUGUUUGUAAUAUUAGUAAGUAUCAUUGUUUUAAUAUCAGUAAGGUUACCACGUGUUUGUAAUAUCAGUAAGGUUACCGCGUGUUUGUAAUAUUGGUAAGGUUACCACGUGUUUGUAAUAUCAGUAAGGCUACCACGUGUGUGUAAUAUUAGUAAAUUAAGGUAACCACAUGUUGGAAAUAUAUAUAAGCUUACCACGUGUUUGUAAUAUCAGUAAGCUUACCACGUGUUUGUAAUAUCAGUUAGGUUACCACGUGUUUGUAAUAUAAGUAAGGUUAUCACGUGUUUGUAAUAACAGUAAGCUUACCACGUGUUUGUAAUAUCAGUUUGGCUACCACGUGUUUGUAAUAUUAGUAAGGCUACCACGUGUUUGUAAUAUUAGUAAGGUUACCACGUGUUUGUAAUAUCAGUAAAUUAAGGUUACCACAUUUUUGUAAUAUAAGUAAGGUUACCACGUGUUUGUAAUAUCAGUGAUGUUACCACGUGUUUGUAAUAUCAGUUAGGUUAUAACGUGUUUGUAAUAUCAAUUAAGUUACCACGUGUUGGUAAUAUUAGUAAGGUUAUCACGUGUUUGUAAAAUAAGUAAGUAUCACGUGUUUGUAAUAUUAAUUAGGUUACCACGUGUUUGUAAUAUUAGUAAGGUUACCACGUGUUUGUAAUAUCAGUAAAUUAAGGUUACCACAUUUUUGUAAUAUAAGUAAGGUU
rnacentral:misc_RNA from 1 species